GUUAUUGUUUAUUUGAUACAACAAAUGGAUAACUGUAGAAAAACUAGAGCUAAUACAUGCUUUAACCGCGAGGUUGUAUUUAUUAGAUAUUCCGGAUUGGUGAAUCAUAAUAACUUCACAAAUCUCGUUUAUGACAAGAUAAAUCAUCCAAGUUUCUGCCCUAUCAUGCUUUCGAUGGUAGUGUAUUGGACUACCAUGGCUCUCACGGGUAACAGGGAAUUAGGGUUCGAUUCUGGAGAAGGAGCCUGACAAACGGCUACUACAUCUACGGAAGGCAGCAGGCGCGUAAAUUACCCAAUCCUGACUCAAGGAGGUGGUGACGAGAUAUAACAACGCGAUCAAAAUCUCGAUUGUAGUGAGGGUAUUCUAAACAGAACCUAUAGUACGAUUAGAGGGCAAGUCUGGUGCCAGCAGCCGCGGUAAUUCCAGCUCUAAUAGCGUAUAUUAAAGUUGCUGCAGUUAAAAAGCUCGUAGUUGGAUUUCAAGGACUGUAGACCCCUCUGGGGAAUACAUCCUACUAGUCAUUGACUGUUACUGUGAGAAAAUUACAGUGUUUCAAGCAGGCUUUCGCAAGAAUACAUUAGCAUGGAAUAACGAAUGUAUUUAGAAUCUUGGUUAAUUCUAAAUUACAAUUAAUAGAGACAGUUGGGGGCAUUAGUAUUUAAUUG
rnacentral:rRNA from 1 species